CAGCCACACAUCCAUCAGACAUCCAACAGACAUCCAUCAGACACAAUACACUUCUUUCACCACUAUAUUUGUGCUGUUUAAUCACUGAUUGAAUCUUACCCACCAUCCUGAUAAAGUGGCAACAUGUGCAAACUCACUCUAACUGCAGGUCUCUGUUUGAUCAUCGCCAGCUUGGGUUAUCCUGGCCUCACGGAUACAGCUGCAGUGCUGCCAAACC